ensembl:rRNA 5S_rRNA 5S ribosomal RNA
GCUUACGGCCAUACCACCCUGAGAACGCCCGAUCUCGUCUGAUCUCGGAAGCUAAGCAGGGUCGGGCCUGGUUAGUACUUGGAUGGGAGACCGCCUGGGAAUACCAGGUGCUGUAAGCN